UUGGAAGUAAAAAUCGUAACAAGGUCUCCGUUGGUGAACCAGCGGAGGGAUCAUUACAGAGUUGCAAAACUCCCUAAACCAUUGAUGAACGUUACCUAUACCGUUGCUUCGGCGGGCGGCCCCGGGGUUUACCCCCCGGGCGCCCCUGGGCCCCACCGCGGGCGCCCGCCGGAGGUCACCAAACUCUUGAUAAUUUAUGGCCUCUCUGAGUCUUCUGUACUGAAUAAGUCAAAACUUUCAACAACGGAUCUCUUGGUUCUGGCAUCGAUGAAGAACGCAGCGAAAUGCGAUAAGUAAUGUGAAUUGCAGAAUUCAGUGAAUCAUCGAAUCUUUGAACGCACAUUGCGCCCGCCAGCAUUCUGGCGGGCAUGCCUGUUCGAGCGUCAUUUCAACCAUCAAGCCCCCGGGCUUGUGUUGGGGACCUGCGGCUGCCGCAGGCCCUGAAAAGCAGUGGCGGGCUCGCUGUCGCACCGAGCGUAGUAGCAUACAUCUCGCUCUGGUCGCGCCGCGGGUUCCGGCCGUUAAACCACCUUUUUAACCCAAGGUUGACCUCGGAUCAGGUAGGAAGACCCGCUGAACUUAAGCAUAUCAUAA
rnacentral:rRNA from 1 species